ensembl:ncRNA T13A10.62 ncRNA
GCACGCAUGUAGAAUAUUGGUCCAGUCUGAAAUUAUUCAUAUUAUGUCUUUUAAAUGGAAAAACUUUGAACAUUUACAUUGUGAGUUUGAGAAAAAUAAUUUUGAAAUGCAUAAUAGACCAGAAUUGCAAAGAAUGCAAGAAGUAACAC